CUGCUCCAGAGGUCUCUUGUGCUUCUUACACACCCUGCUCUCCAGGUUCUCCACAGGGUUGAUCAGCUUGUGUCUUUUCAGGGCGGGGAUUCUCUGAUGAGGCUCCAGGUGAGCCUCACAGUAGGAGACCAGACAAUCCAGGCAGGACUUCAGGGCCCUCAGUUUAGUGUCAGUGCAGAAAUCACAGAGAACUUCUCCUGGGUUGGUGUGUUGUUCCUCUGAGCUGCCGGUGUUGGUUUCUCUUAAAACUGACUGCUUGAACUGAGCAGCCAUCUCAGAUAAGACCGUAUUAACAUGCAGAUCGGGUUUUUUCUUAUACUUCUCUUUGCACAGGGGACACUGAUGCUGGUCAUUGGUGUCCCAGUGCUCAGUGAUGCAGGACUUACAGAAGUUGUGUCCACAUGGUAUGGUGACGGGAUCAGUGAAGACAUCCAGACAGAUGGAGCACAGGAACUGCUCUUCAGAGAGGAGACUGAUCGCUGACGCCAUAUCUAGGAACGAAGCAUUAAAGAAGGCAUGAAGAAGAAAUCAACAAAACUACACUGAAACAAAUGUGCAGCACAGUUCUGGAAGUUUCUCAUCGUUAGAUGAUAAAGGUGAGUGUUUGAACAAACCUGAGCUUGUAAGAGACACAAAUAUAAACACAGUAUGACUCAGACACAUGACCGUUGAACAGUUGAUGGCGUCAGCAGUUUACGGUCGCCCAUCCAAACUUUGUGAUUGUAAUUCAUUCAGACCAAAAUAUGUUGAAUUAUCGCGUUUUACUAAGAAUGUUUUAAACUGUUAGAGACCAACAGUUGAGAAGAUAAAAUCUUACCUCACAUACCCAGAUAGAAAAACAAGUUUUUGAGACGACACUGAACUAGAUACUCUUUAGUUUUUCUUCUUACCUGUUGAUUUCCUCUGAUUACAGGUGAUUUAUAGUAUAUAGAGGUUUUGUUGUUCUGUCUGAAGCUGAAGAGGUGUUUCUAAUAGACUUCUCCCUACUGCUGCAGGGCUGUCACUAGGAGUUAAGUUUUGUUUCACUGGAAGUGGGACAGUAAGCCACUCCCUUUUCUGCACUCUGGACUCACCUGUUCCUGCUGGUUUUGAUUAUCAUCACAAACAUGGUUGCAACCAAGAGCGGAAACUAAUCUCCCCAGAGGUCCUAGAGUCCUAGAAUAAAAAACAAUUUAAUUUUCUCUCUCCUAAUUUGUGUUAUUGAGUCAGAAAGUGUUCAAUUUGAAGGAAAGAAAAGCAGAAAACUCAGCUGUUGAGGAAAUUGAUGUUUACCAUCAUCGGCUUAUGACAAUGAAAGUAGAACUGAACAGCUCAGCUGGUUACAUAAAAGGCAGACGUCUGAAUGGUCUUUAUAUUUCAAACAUCAUCAGCCUUCUUCUAUCUCUUCCUUCUUCCUCUGUAAACUGCCUCCACCCCAGCUCCCCUUUCUAUACUGAGUCUGAUUCGACCACUGUCAUAUGGAGUGUCCCUGUUGCCUGUGUUGUUAUGUACCUAAGAGGUCUUUGCUGCUGAUCUCCAGGCCUGGUCUCCACAUGAAAUGAAAUGAAAGGGAGGUGCUCUCUCUCCAACUUAUAUAAAUAUGGAAGAGCAGGGAGCUCUCAAAAGGUGCUUUAAAACAAGGUUAGGAAGCUCUAAUUAUUUUAUUCAUUUAUUUAAUUUUAUUUAACCAGGAGAGCCGCACUGAGAUUAAAAAUCUUUUUUUUUUACAACAAAGUUACAUUCAAUCACAUAAUACAAAACGUCAACAUUUCCUCAAUGAUACAGCUGAAAGUCAUUAUUCAAAACAUUUACAGCCUGAUGUGUCUCCCUUUAACACCGUCAAUCUGCUUCUAAACACAGUCUGGGGGACCUAGCUUCCUCAAGUUCUCUAAGUUCUUCUCACGUCUUCUUAAAUCAUAGUGAUAGACAGCAAAAUCAGCUGCUUUUUUUUGAGUUUGAAAACAUCAUGAGUUUAGUUUGAUCAGGAUUUUAGAUCAAUUUCAACUCAUGAAAAGUUUGCUGAGCUGCAUCAAAAGCAUUUUGUCUAUAAUCUCAAACCUGAUGCAGUGUUGGAGCAGAGCAGUAAACAACAGUAUCAUCUGAAUAUAAAUGUAAAUUUGCUUUAGGAAUAGUCUGACCGUUACUGUUGAUCUAGAUUAUCAAUUAGCGUGAUCCCAAGAAUGCGCCCUGUAGCACUCCUUUUACUUCUUAACAUUAAUAGUAGAUUACUACCAUCCCUAUGAAACAAAAUAAAAAAUAAAAUACAACAAAAACCACAAAAUAACUAUGUUAAUUGAUACCACCACUACCAGAGGCUUUGCCCAGGAGCUGAUGGGUUCUGAGCAUGGGCGAGCGGUCAUAAUAAACUAUAGAUGCAGCGCAUGCCUACGCCCUUCAAUAAAAACCAUUGAAAAUACUUAUCUGUCAGUGUGUUCAAUUAUACAAUACCACCUUAGUACUGUUUUCGUCUUAGAUCCCUGCCUAAUCUGUCUUGUUUGGCUCGUGAAAAACUGGAAAGCUGAUAGCUAGUUUUGCGCAUGUGCACUGUGAUACCAAGUAGUACAGUUAGUGCUUAGAGGCUGUAUUUACUGUAGAUGAGCAUUUUGAACGGCAAAAAAAGCUGUCAGUAAAGCAGCUAAUCUGCCAACGUGCACGUGAAUAACUGACUUGUUUGAAUUAUAGCUCUGUAGGCAUGUGGUUGUGUCAUUUGACUAACCACAGAGCUGGUUACAUUACUGUGUGUAUCAACCUGUGUCAGUCCUGAGUGUUUCUGCUUUCAUUUAGCCUUUCUAUACACUGUAAAUUCCAACACAUUGUUGUUGGUAACUUGGGGUAAGUGUGAGUGUGAGAGUGUCUAUCAAAAUUUAGUUGAUGUAGUUGUUAAAAAACAUAUGUGUUUCAAUUAAUUAAUAAAUACCCCAAAAUGUUCUCGCUUGUACCCUUGUGGGCGCCUGCAUGGGAUUGACACCUAAGCAUGACCACAGUCAAAGGUCACCACUCGCCACUGGUUCUGAGGUACACAUUGUCUAAUCAGAGUUAUCAACUGGACAGAUGAUCAGAGGGCUGGAGUUUGCACCACUUCUGUGUCUGGGAUUGAAAAUCGGGUAAAGUUUCUCAGUGAAGUUACAGCCAGUAAAAGCAUAGAUUAGAGUUGAAGCAUCUGCGUCAUAAAAAUAGACCAGACCCCUCUCAUAAUCCACGAACACCCCCACCUUUUGAGGCUUUGACUUCAGACUCAGCUGAAGUGGUUUAGUGUCAACAAGAGCAUUGUACUCGUCAUCCUUCAAGCAUACAGUCCAGAAACCGUUCUCAGGGUGAAAGAGACGAACAUCCUUCCUGUGGAUAGACUCUCUAGCUACUCCUAAAACCCAGCUGGUCUUCCCCUCAACUUGAACCUCAUAGUAAAACUUCCCUGAGGAGAAACCCUCAUUUCCCAACACACCAAAAUACGAGGAUAUUCUCUUUGGGCUGUCUUUGAUUUUUUGACUCGUAUUCCCGUGAUAAACUUGCUUCCCAUCAGCAGACAGGAUGAGUUUAGGAUGAGCUGUUUCAGGAUCAAGAGUCACAUCCACCGAGUACUGCCUAUACUUCUUUAACUGGCCAUCAGCACAAGGAGUCUUUGUAUCUUUGCCAAGUGUCUCUCUCAGCUCAACCAGAUUGGUCUUCAAGAUCCCAUCAUAUGAAGAGUGAAUUUUGACCUUCGUCCAGUCUUUAGAGAGUGAAGGAGCUUUCAGAGACAAGUUGUUUUGGAGGAAGUGGAGGUGGUCCUCAUUGCAUGAGAGCUGCUCCAGCUCAGCGCUUCUCUUCAUCAGCUCAGAGAUUUCCUCCUCCAGCUCUUUGAUGAGACCUUCAGCCAGUUCCUCUGUUUGUUUGUGCUUCUUACGGAUCAUGUCGAUGACCUGAGCCAUUCUUCUCUCAAUAGAACGGAGCAGAGCUGUGAGGACCUCCACACUUUUUGCUGUCUCUCUGUCUGCAUCUUCUCUGCUAAGUGUCACAGACUGUUUGAUCUGCUUAAUCUUCAGUUCCCUAUCCUGGAUCAUCCUCUGAACUUCAGCCUCUGUCUUUCCAAGCUCUGCUUUUCUCUCUUCAUAUCCUUCUUUGAGGGAAACGAUUUGAUGGAGCUUGUGUUUUGACUCUGAACAGAACCGACACAAGCAGAUUUUGUCUGUUUUACAGAACUGUUCCAGAGGUCUAUUGUGCUUCUUACACACCCUGCUCUCCAGGUUCUUCACAGGGUUGAUCAGCUUGUGUCUUUUCAGGGCUGAGAUUCUCUGAUGAGGCUCCAGGUGAGCCUCACAGUAGGAGACCAGACAAUCCAGGCAGGACUUCAGGGCCCUCAGUUUAGUGUCAGUGCAGAAAUCACAGAGAACUUCUCCUGGGUCGGUGUGUUGUUCUUCUGAGCUACUCCUGAUGGUGGAGGUGAUGGUUUCUCUUGAAACUGACUGCUUGAACUGAGCAGCCAUCUCAGAUAUGAAGGUGUUGACCCGCAGGUGUGGUAGUUUCUCAUACUGCUCUUUGCACAGGGGACACUGAUGCUGGUCAUUGGUGUCCCAGUGCUCAGUGAUGCAGGACUUACAGAAGUUGUGUCCACAU
rnacentral:lncRNA from 1 species